rnacentral:lncRNA from 1 species
GAUAACCUGCCGCUGGUGGACGUGGGCGACGUGUGCCAGACCAUCGACCCCGUCACCCUCACCGCCACCAACAAGGUGGACCUGGCGGUCCCCAUGAUGCUGUCGCUGAGGGCCGAGUCGGGACUGGAGGUGCGCUCGCCGAGGCAGUUCAAGGUGAGAGGGAGGAGGGGAGGAGAUAGGGUAAGAAAGAUGAGGCAGGCGCUCUCCUGGGCUUGCUAUCUAGCGCCCUACACGCAUACACAUACGCUCUCUGACUCGCCAGCCGGACGCACAAUUCUUAGCAGCUUGCAGUGCAGACCAGUACACACAUGAUGUUUCGUCCUUGUACCCCCGCACUCUCGACAGUCGCUCACCAUGCAUCAAACACAGGUCCGGCUGACCAAGGUGGGGCUGGAUACAUUCAUCUCCACUCCACAGCUGCUGGCGGCGCUCGAGGUGGGUGUGUGAAGGUGACAGCA